UACGUAGGGUGCAAGCGUUGUCCGGAAUUAUUGGGCGUAAAGAGCGCGUAGGCGGCCUGGCGGGUCUGCUGUGAAAACUCGAGGCUUAACCUCGAGACGUCGAUGGAAACCAUCUGGCUAGAGUCCGGAAGAGGAGAGUGGAAUUCCUGGUGUAGCGGUGAAAUGCGCAGAUAUCAGGAAGAACACCCGUGGCGAAGGCGGCUCUCUGGGACGUGACUGACGCUGAGACGCGAAAGCGUGGGGAGCAAACAGG
rnacentral:rRNA from 1 species